rnacentral:rRNA from 1 species
UACGGGGGGGGCAAGCGUUGUUCGGAAUUACUGGGCGUAAAGCGUGCGCAGGCGGUCUGUUAAGUCAGAUGUGAAAGCCCCGGGCUCAACCUGGGAAUGGCGUUUGAAACUGGCAGGCUCGAGUUUGGCAGAGGGAGGUGGAAUUCCACGUGUAGCAGUGAAAUGCGUAGAGAUGUGGAGGAACACCGAUGGCGAAGGCAGCCUCCUGGGCCAGAACUGACGCUCAUGCACGAAAGCGUGGGGAGCAAACAGG